rnacentral:rRNA from 1 species
AAUAUUGCACAAUGGGCGCAAGCCUGAUGCAGCAACGCCGCGUGCGCGACGAAGGCCUUCGGGUCGUAAAGCGCUUUUCGGGGAGAGGAGCACGGACAGUAUCCCCGGAAGAAGGAUCGGCUAACUACGGGCCAGCAGCCGCGGUCAAACGUAGGAUCCGAGCGUUAUCCGAAUUCACGUGGCGUAAAGCGCAUGCAGGCGGCCGCACCAGUUGGAUGUGAAAUCUCCCGGCUCACCUGGGAGGGGACGUUCAAAACUGUGCGGCUCGAGGGCGGUAGAGGAAGGUAGAAUUCCCGGUGUAGUGGUGAAAUGCGUAGAUAUCGGGAGGAAUACCCGUGGCGAAGGCGACCUUCUGGACCGUUUCUGACGCUCAGAUGCGAAAGCUAGGGGAGCGAACGGG